rnacentral:rRNA from 1 species
AUCUUGGCUCAGGUGGGUGGGUUCACCCCCUUAGAGUUUGAUUAGGGCUCAGGGGGGGUGGAUGACCUCCUUAAAACUCUGGAAAACUGGAGCUAAUACCGCAUGAUACCUGAGGGUCAAAGGCGUAAGUCGCCUGUGGAGGAGCCUGCGUUCGAUUAGCUUGUUGGUGGGGUAAUGGCCUACCAAGGCGAUGAUCGAUAGCUGGUCUGAGAGGAUGAUCAGCCACACUGGGACUGAGACACGGCCCAGACUCCUACGGGAGGCAGCAGUGGGGAAUAUUGGACAAUGGGGGCAACCCUGAUCCAGCAAUGCCGCGUGUGUGAAGAAGGUUUUCGGAUUGUAAAGCACUUUCGGCGGGGACGAUGAUGACGGUACCCGCAGAAGAAGCCCCGGCUAACUUCGUGCCAGCAGCCGCGGUAAUACGAAGGGGGCUAGCGUUGCUCGGAAUGACUGGGCGUAAAGGGCGUGUAGGCGGUUUGUACAGUCAGAUGUGAAAUCCCCGGGCUUAACCUGGGAGCUGCAUUUGAUACGUGCAGACUAAAGUGUGAGAGAGGGGUGUGGGAUUCCCCAGUGUAGAGGUGAAAUUCGUAGAUAUUGGGAAGAAACACCGGUGGCCGAGGCGGCAACCUGGCUCAUGACUGACGCUGAGGCGCGAAGCGUGGGAGCAAACAGGAAUAGAUACCCUGUAGUCCACCGCUGUCAACCAAGUGUGCAUGAAUGUGGCUACUUGAGUUGUUCCAGUGUCGUACU